CUUGUUAAGAAAUCCCCCGAAAGGGUCACCAUAAAUUGGAAGCAACUUGAAGGCAUACAAGAAAAAAGAAAUAAUCUACUUUUCUCUUUCAUUUCUCAUCAAAGGAGAGAAUACUUCUGAAAUAUAGCCAUACAGUCUGGAAAACAUACAACAACCCUGUGAUCCCGGCCAUGAAAGCCUUCGUUCGACAACACAGGUCCUGGAAAAAUAGAGUCCCAUGGAGGUCAUCCCACGAUGCAUGGACACUUCUGGUGGCUGCCCAUGGGAAUUUUAUUUGUCAAAUAAAGUCACGCACCCUCAACAUCUCAGCUAAACAAGCUACGCAUUAGCAAAGCUCCAAUGUACAGGCCUCUUUUCAGUAGCAAUUCAUUCUGGUACUACCAGUUUUGUAGUUAGGGACCAAUUCAAAAAGUAACUGAUUACAUUUAUACUUCCAAUGCCCCUCAAAGCUAUUCGUUGCAAAAUACUUGCAACUUUUACAGGCAAUUCAUUAAUUUCUUACUUUUAAAAAUUAAAUAAAUUAGACUUCUUAAUUAUACUUUUGUUAUCAAGACCGCGAUUUAGCAGGGAUCUGCCCUGUGAGGGAGAUCCAAUCCGUCUCCCAGAAGAGGGAACGAACCUUGGCGAGCCGACCGAAAAGUAGGAAAUGAACCGGAUUAUAAUUUACCUGAGACCGAAAGGAAAAGCUCUGCCAAGUUGAAGGAAAAACCGUCAAAGUGUUUAUUAAAGCGAUUCAGCUGAACGGACAUCGAGCAGCGAUAGAUCGACAUGCAAGUUGUAACGAUACAUUGGAAAUAAAGCCAUUUUAUACACUUGCAAGUUUGAAGUCUAUUUGAACUUCCCGCCCCGUCCCUCCGCUCAUCUGGCUGCUGAUAGGUCGAGGGUGUCACACUAGGCGGGAGCUAGGCUUCCCGCUCUGCGCCUUAGCCAAUGAGGGACAACCUUCGCCUCUGCCAGGGCCAAUCAGGUUGGGGAAGGCGGGAAUCAGCUAGACAAUGGGUUCUGGUGAAUGAAUCAUUGGAGUU